UACGGGGGGGGCAAGCGGUUGUUCGGAAUUACUGGGCGUAAAGGGCUCGUAGGUGGCCAACUAAGUCAGACGUGAAAUCCCUCAGCUUAACUGGGGAACUGCGUCUGAUACUGGAUGGCUUGAGUUUGGGAGAUGGGAUGCGGAAUUCCAGGUGUAGCGGUGAAAUGCGUAGAUAUCUGGAGGAACACCGGUGGCGAAGGCGGCAUCCUGGACCAACACUGACACUGAGGAGCGAAAGCCAGGGGAGCAAACGGG
rnacentral:rRNA from 1 species